GGAGAAGAGAGACCAAACCCUUAUCGUCACUGCUCAUUUGACUGCUAAACCCUAAUCCUCCGACGGCGGCGGCAAUGAAGGAUAAGAAAUUGAUAGCCCUAGGGUUCGAGGGUUCCGCCAACAAAAUUGGCGUCGGCGUAGUAGCAAUCGACGGCACAAUUCUUUCUAAUCCACGACACACCUACAUAACGCCACCAGGCCAAGGUUUUCUCCCCCGUGAAACCGCCCAGCAUCACCACCAACACAUCUUACCGUUAGUAAAAUCCGCUCUAGAAACCGCCGGAGUAACUCCCGAUGAAAUUGACUGUAUCUGCUACACAAAAGGCCCUGGGAUGGGUGCUCCACUGCAGGUUUCGGCAGUGGUUGUACGUGUUCUAUCUCAGCUAUGGAAGAAACCUAUUGUUGGGGUGAACCACUGUGUUGCGCACAUUGAAAUGGGUCGAAUCGUAACCGGGGCGGUUGAUCCGGUUGUGCUAUACGUGAGUGGUGGAAAUACUCAGGUUAUUGCGUAUAGUGAAGGACGGUAUAGGAUUUUUGGGGAGACGAUUGAUAUUGCAGUGGGUAAUUGUUUGGAUAGGUUUGCUAGGGUUCUUACAUUGUCUAAUGAUCCUAGCCCUGGGUACAACAUUG
rnacentral:misc_RNA from 1 species